rnacentral:misc_RNA from 1 species
AAGUCAUAACAAGGUAUCUGUAGGUGAACCUGCAGAUGGAUCAUUAGUGAAUAACACGGGCGUCCCACUCUGUGGGCCCCAACCCCUUCACCAUAUCCACACACCUGUGCACCGCUAGUGACGGCCGAUACGCAAGUAUCUUGUCGCUGCUAGCAACCCUUUACACAUACACACAAAGUAAAUGAAUGUCACUGUACCUACGCAAGUAGAAACAAAAUACAACUUUUGACAACGGAUCUCUUGGUUCUC